GAUGGGUUUCCUCUGCUGCAUUCACCCUGCUUUCUUUGAAGAAAGAAGGAGAGGGGAAAUACGAGAACGGCACGAUUGUGCCAAGGACAGCUGCUGUUGGAGUGCAUCGCCUUAAUUUGGUUGUACUGUGUGCUACACUACAAGCGGGAGCAUAUGAAUGACUCUCGGCAAUGGAUAUCUUGGCUCUCGUUUCGAUGAAGAACGUAGCGAAAUGCGACACUUGGUGUGAAUUGCAGAAUCCCGUGAACCAUCGAGUCUUUGAAUGCAAGUUGCGCUUGAGACCUUUAGGUCGAGGGCACGUCUGCCUGGGCGUCAUGCCUUGCGUCAUUCUAAACAUCAACCCACCUUAAAUAAAAUUGUGGGUAACGGUGGAUGUGGAGAUUGGCCCUCCGUGCUUUUGAUGUGCGGUUGGUUUAAGUGACGGUCGUCGCUAGGAUUGCACGCGGCGAAUGUUGAUCGAGUUCAUGCACGAAGUCUUCAGCUGCGUACAUGAGUCCUAACCAUGAUGUAUUAUAAUUGAAACCAUUAUCAAUGUUUGCACUAUUCGCAAGCAUGGACC
rnacentral:misc_RNA from 1 species